CUGGGCACCAUCCCUCUGUAGGAUGAGACCAGGAAGGGUAUGGCCUGGGGGCCAUGUUUUUUGUCUCAGGCAGGGAGCUUUGAGACCUGGUCAUCAAAACGUCUGUGGUUAACAUUAAAGGGG